UGGUUACAAAAUGUGUUUACUUAAAUAUUGUGAAAUGAGGAUGGAAAUUCGCAGUGCAGGGUGUUUGUCAUCUGCUCAUGACUAGCAGAUGUCCGCCUCCCCCUCCUCCUUUGCAAGCUCAAUGACUCACAUCUUACAGGGUGUGCAAAUUGAAAUUUCGAAACUCUCCAGAGUAGAGGUGGCAGUGCCAUAACUUGACGCAGGAGAAGUAUGCCAGCCAGAUGACUUUGCCAGCCAGCAUGCUGCCAAAGACUUCACAAAAUGUCUCUCUUAUUGGAAAGAAAAGCGUUUGGAUGUCUCUCUGCACGUGUUCGAUGCGCCAUUUCUGAAAGGAUACAAGCCAAAGAAAGCCUUGCAGCUUCCACUUGGGUCUCCUGGAACACUCACUCUGGGAGAAGACAGCUGUCACGUAAGAAGCCUGACUACCCUGAGAUCACUUUGCUUUGAGGAAGCUCAAGCUGCCACCUGAAGAGGCUGUGUGGAGAGAGAAAUGCCUGAUAAGCCCCUAGCUGUUUCAGGCAUCUCAGCUGAUAAGCCAGACAUGUGACUAAGGAAGCCAUCUUGGACAUCCAGCUGAGGUGAGGCUUCUGAAGACUCCAUCCAUCUGACUGUAACCACCCGAGAGAAUGCAACAUCACCUAACUGAGCUCAGUCAACCUAUAGGACCAUGAGAGAUAAUAAUAAUUUUUUUAAACUACUAUAUUUUAGUGUAGUUUGUUACACAGCAAUAGAUAUAACCCAAACACUUCAGAUUGAGAGAGAGAGAUUGAGAGAGAGAGAGAGAGAUUGAGAGAGAGAGAGAGAGAGAAAGUUGAACAUGAAAUGCAAUUGCACUAACCUGACUCCCUUCUUUUUUUCUCACCUCAGAUAGUGUCUAUGAGCAAAUCUCAUAAUCUCUAUUUUAUUUUUUCUUUUUCACUUUUCAGAUUUUUUAAAGUUUUUAAAAUUGAAGUAUAGCUAAUUUAGAAUGUUUUGUUAGUUUCAGGUGUACAGCAAUGUGAUUCAGUUAUAUAGGUUGUUGGAAGCACUUUUGAUAAGGCCUGAACCUCCAAUAUUUUCUAAGGGAACUUAGACACUAGUGAUGUGAUGAACAUGCAAGUGAAGACAGAAACAGAAUGGCCUUAGGGGCUGCAUCAGUUGGGGACAUACUCUAUGGAGCUAUGAAGUAGGAGAGAACCUGGAAGUCAUUCAAUGCAACAGUAGAAUUGUCAGCCCUUGGGGCCCCUUUCUUUGUUCAUUAUUGAGUACCUAGACAUCUAAAAUGUGUAAAUAACUGGAAAUGGACAAAAAUGUCCAGACAGGUUAUUUCGAGUAAUGAAGAGAUGAUGUUAUCAAAGAAGAUUAAAGGUUCUAAAUUAGGGGAGCCUAGCUGAACAAUGGUUAAGGAAUGGCAGCAUAUGAGGAUGUCAGUGCCAAAGAGAAAGGUGUAUCUUAGUCACUUGCAGCUUUGGGAUAGAGCCUAUGAGGGAGGAGGAAGAAGGGGGACAGAGAGCAGUGGAGUCAAGACGAAGAGACAGGCUUAGGAUGUAUAAAUAGUAGGAUUUUUAGGUUAAAAUCUCUUCAGUCAACCACAGCCAUUGCAAUUUAAGCAGGCAAAUUUUGAUAUAGCAGAAAAAGUACCAACAUGCCUAUUGGGAGGUCUUUGUCCUGCUACCAACAGGCAGUAUAGACUUGGCAAGUACCUUGCCUUCUCUGGGUCUCAGGAAGGCAUGUUGUAACUUAUAAAAGACUCUACAUAGUUUUAUAUCAAUUAUAAUAAAAUGAGCAGUAGCACUU